AAACUCAAAUGAAUUGACGGGGGCCCGCACAAGCGGAGGAACAUGUGGUUUAAUUCGAUGAUACGCGAGGAACCUUACCCGGGCUCGAACGGCUGGUGAAGAGAUCCAGAGAUGGUGACGUCCUUCGGGACACCAGUCGAGGUGCUGCAUGGUUGUCGUCAGCUCGUGCCGUGAGGUGUCGGCUCAAGUGCCAUAACGAGCGCAACCCUUGUCGUCAGUUACCAUCAAGUUGUGUUGGGGACUCUGGCGAGACUGCCACCGCAAGGUGAGAGGAAGGGGGGGAUGACGUCAAAUCAGCACGGCCCUUACGUCCGGGGCGACACACGUGUUACAAUGGGGGUUACAGAGGGGCACUACCUGGUGACAGGAUGGGAAUCUCGAAAAGCCCUCUCAGUCCGGAUCGGAGUCUGCAACUCGACUCCGUGAAGCUGGAUUCGCUAGUAAUCGCGCAUCAGCCAUGGCGCGGUGAAUACGUUCCCGGGCCUUGUACACACCGCCCGU
rnacentral:rRNA from 1 species